UACGGAAGGCAGCAGUGGGGAAUAUUGCACAAUGGGCGCAAGCCUGAUGCAGCCAUGCCGCGUGUAUGAAGAAGGCCUUCGGGUUGUAAAGUACUUUCAGUCGUGAGGAAGGUGUUAAGGUUAAUAACCUUAGCAAUUGACGUUAGCGACAGAAGAAGCACCGGCUAACUCCGUGCCAGCAGCCGCGGUAAUACGGAGGGUGCGAGCGUUAAUCGGAAUUACUGGGCGUAAAGGGCACGCAGGCGGUUAAUUAAGUUGGAUGUGAAAUCCCCGGGCUUAACCUGGGAAUGGCAUUCAAGACUGGUUAGCUAGAGUCUUGUAGAGGGGGUAGAAUUCCAUGCGUAGCGGUGAAAUGCGUAGAGAUGUGGAGGAAUACCGGUGGCGAAGGCGGCCCCUGGGACAAAGACUGACGCUCAUGUGCGAAAGCGUGGGGAGCAAACAGGAUUAGAUACC
rnacentral:rRNA from 1 species